rnacentral:rRNA from 1 species
UACGGAGGAUCCAAGCGUUAUCCGGAAUCAUUGGGUUUAAAGGGUCCGUAGGCGGUUUUGAUGAAGUACAGGUGGUGAAAGCCCAUCGCUCAACGAUGGGAACGGACCAUUGACGUACUGUCAGACUUGAAUUAUUAGGAAGUAACUAGAAUGAAGUGUAGUGUAGCGGUGAAAUGCUUAGAUAUUACAUGGAAUACCAAUUGCG